rfam:Jeotgalibaca sp. PTS2502, complete genome.
AAACGUCUUCAGGGCAGGGUGAAAUUCCCGACCGGUGGUUAGAGUCCACGAGCUUUUAUCCGUUUUGAUAAAAGUUGAACUGGUGAAAUUCCAGUACCGACAGUAUAGUCUGGAUGGAAGAAGAUAAUG